rnacentral:lncRNA from 1 species
GCUUUUAUAUAAGACCUCCACGUCAAAAAUAUAAAACACCUCUCUAACCCUCUAACCAAAAUAUAGGCAAACCAUACAGCAAGACUUGCAGCAAGAUACCCCAUCUCCUGCAAUCUACAACUCACUUUGAACAAUCCUUAAAGUGUACCAGACUCCACGAGUCCAACCCUUGUAGUCACAACAGGUAACAACAAUCACC